AACCAUCAGACUGACCCACUGGCUAGGGACUACUACAGUAAACCAUCUGACUGACCCACUGGCUAGGGACUACUACAGUAAACCAUCAGACUGACCCACUGGCUAGGGACUACUACUGUAAACCAUCAGACUGACCAACCUGCUUUGGACUACUAUGGUAAACCAUCAGACUGACCCACUGGCUAGGGACUACUACAGUAAACCAAGAGACUGACCCACUGGCUAGGGACUCCUACUGUAAACCAAGAGACUGACCCACUGGCUAGGGACUCCUACUGUAAACCAAGAGACUGACCCACUGGCUAGGGAAUACUACAGUAAACCAUCAGAUUGACCCACUGGCUAGGGACUACUACUGUAAACCAUCAGACUGACCAACCUGCUAGGGACUACUAUGGAAAACCCUCAGACUGACCCACUGGCUAGGGACUAUGGGAAACCAUCAGACUGACCCACAGGCUCGGGUCUACUACGGUAAACCAUCAGACUGACCGAUAGGCUAGGGACUACUACAGUAAACCAUCAGACUGACCCACUGGCUAGGGACUACUACUGUAAACCAUCAGACUGACCAACCUGCUUUGGUCUACUACUGUAAACCAUCAGACCGACCCACUGGCUAGGGACUACUACGGUAAACCAUCAGACUGACCCACUGGCUAGGGACUACUACGGUAAACCAUCAGACUGACCCACUGGCUAGUGACUACAACGGUUAACCAUCAGACUGACCCACUGGCUAGGCACUACUACAGUAAACCAUCAGACUUACCCACUGGUUAGGAACUACUACAGCAAACCAUCAGACUGACCCACUGGCUAGCGACUGUUACGGUAAAUCAUCAUAUUGACCCACUGGCUAGGACUACUACAGGUAACCAUCAGACUGACCUACUGGCUAGGACUACUACAGGUAACCAUCAGACUGACCUACUGGCUAGGGACUACUACUGGAAACCAUCAGACUGACCAACCUGCUUUGGACUACUUUGGCAAACCCUCAGACUGACCCACUGGCUAGGGCCUACUAUGGCAAACCGUCAGACUGACCCACUGGCUAGGGACUUUGGCAAACCAUCAGACUUACCCACUGGCUAGGGACUAUGGCAAACCAGCAGACUGACCCACUGGCUAGGGUCUCCUACGGUAAACCAAGAGUCUGACCCACUGGCUAGGGAAUACUACAGUAAACCAAGAGACUGACCCACUGGCUAGGUACUACUACAGUAAGCCAUGAGACUGAUUCACUGGCUAGGGACUACUACUGUAAACCAAGAGUCUGACCCACUGGCUAGGGACUAGUAUGGAAAAACCAUCAGACUGACCCACUGGCUAGGACUACUACAGGUAACCAUCAGACUGACCUACUGGCUAGGGACUACUACUGGAAACCAUCAGACUGACCAACCUGCUUUGGACUACUUUGGCAAACCCUCAGACUGACCCACUGGCUAGGGACUUUGGCAAACCAUCAGACUUACCCACUGGCUAGGGACUAGUACGGAAAAACCAUCAGACUGACCCACUGGCUAGGGACUACUACAGUAAACCAAGAGUCUGAUCCACUGGCUAGGGACUAUUACGGUAAACCAUCAGACUGACCCACUGGCUAGGGACUAUUACGGUAAACCAUCAGACUGACCCACUGGCUAGGGACUACUACGGUAAACCAUCAGAUUGACCCACUGGCUAGGGACUAUUACGGUAAACCAUCAGACUGACCCACUGGCUAGGACUACUACAGGUAACCAUCAGACUGACCUACUGGCUAGGGACUACUACUGGAAACCAUCAGACUGACCAACCUGCUUUGGACUACUUUGGCAAACCCUCAGACUGACCCACUGGCUAGGGCCUACUAUGGCAAACCGUCAGACUGACCCACUGGCUAGGGACUUUGGCAAACCAUCAGACUUACCCACUGGCUAGGGACUAUGGCAAACCAGCAGACUGACCCACUGGCUAGGGACUCCUACUGUAAACCCAGAGACUGACCCACUGGCUAGGGACUCCUACUGUAAACCAUCAGACUGACCCACUGGCUAGGGACUACUACUGUAAACCAAGAGACUGACCCACUGGCUAGAAACUACUACAGUAAACCAUCAGACCGACCCAAUGGCUAGGGACUACUACAGUAAACCAUCAGACUGACUCACUGGCUUGGGACAACUACUGUAAACCAUCAGACUGACCCACUGGCUAGGGACUUCUACUGUAAACCAAGAGACUGACCCACUGGCUGGGGAAUACUACGAUAAACCAUCAGACUGACCCGCUGGCUAGGGACUACUACUGUAAACCAUCAGACUGACCAACCUGCUAGGGACUACUAUGGCAAACCCUCAGACUGACCCACUGGCUAGAGACUAUGGCAAACCAUCAGACUGACCCACUGUCUAGGGACUACUACUGUAAAGCAUCAGACUGACCCACAGGCUAGGGACUGCUACAGUAAACCAUCAGACUGACCCACAGGCUAGGGACUACUACUGUAAACCAUCAGACUGACCCACAGGCUAGGGACUACUACAGUAAACCAU